rnacentral:rRNA from 1 species
CAUCGCCACGGUAAUACAGAGGGUGCAAGCGUUAAUCGGAAUUACUGGGCGUAAAGCGCGCGUAGGUGGUUUGUUAAGUUGGAUGUGAAAUCCCCGGGCUCAACCUGGGAACUGCAUCCAAAACUGGCAGGCUAGAGUAGGGCAGAGGGUGGUGGAAUUUCCUGUGUAGCGGUGAAAUGCGUAGAUAUAGGAAGGAACACCAGUGGCGAAGGCGACCACCUGGGCUCAUACUGACACUGAGGUGCGAAAGCGUGGGGAGCAAACAGGAUUAGAUACCCCGGUAGUCCCUGUCUCUUAUACA